AUUGAACGCUGGCGGCAGGCCUAACACAUGCAAGUCGAGCGGAGCGGCGGACGGGUGCGUGAUGCCUAUGAAUCUGCCUGGUAGUGGGGGAUGACGUCCGGAAACGGGCGCUAAUACCGCAUCCUAUCAGCUGAGCCUAGGUGGGAGUAGCUAGUGGGUGGGGUAAAGGCCUACCAAGGCGACGGUCCGUACCUGGUCUGAGAGGAUGAACAGUCACACUGGAACUGAGACACGGUCCAGACUCCUACGGGAGGCAGCAGUGGGGAAUAUUGGACAAUGGGCGAAAGCCUGAUGCAGCCAUGCCGCGUGUAUGAAGAAGGUCUUCGGGUUGUAAAGCACUUUAAGUGGGGAGGCGUUACCCACAGAAUAAGCACCGGCUAACUCCGUGCCAGCCGCCGCGGUAAUUC
rnacentral:rRNA from 1 species